rnacentral:rRNA from 1 species
CCCCUAGAUGUUCUGGGCCGCACGCGCGCUACACUGAACAGUUCAACAAGUCUUAACCUUGGCCGAUAGGUCUGGGUAAUCUUUGAACGCUGUUCGUGAUUGGGAUAGACCUUUGCAAUUAUGGGUCUUCAACGAGGAAUUCCUAGUAAACGCAAGUCAUCAGCUUGCAUUGAUUACGUCCCUGCCCUUUGUACACACCGCCCGUCGCACCUACCGAUUGAAUGGUCCGGUGAAAUCUCGGGACGGCGGCUUGGUCGCUUGCGUCCGACUGCUGAAACUUGAUUAAACCAUAUCAUUCAGAGGAAGGUGAANUCGUAACA